GUGUUAUAUGAAAGGAGAGAAGGUUAGCACCCCCCUUGACAAGGACGGGAUAUAACACAUAGGCUGGGGAGCACUCAUUGCCUGCUCGGCAAUGCCCUGAGCCGACUCAUUUUUUUUUU